GACGAACCGUGCGAACGUUAUUCGGAAUCAUUGGGCUUAAAGGGUGCGUAGGCGGGCUCGUGAGUCAGGGGUGAAAUCCCACGGCCCAACCGUGGAAGUGCCUCUGAUACCGCGGGCCUCGAGGGGGAUAGGGGCGUGCGGAACUUCCGGUGGAGCGGUGAAAUGCGUAGAUAUCGGAAGGAACACCGGUGGCGAAAGCGGCGCGCUGGAUCCCUACUGACGCUGAGGCACGAAAGCCAGGGGAGCAAACGGGAGUUAGAUGACCCG
rnacentral:rRNA from 1 species